UACGGAGGUGGCAAGCGUUGCUCGGAAUCACUGGGCGUAAAGGGCGCGUAGGCGGGGAGGUAAGUCGGGUGUGAAAUCCCUCGGCCCAACCGAGGAACUGCGCCCGAGACUGCUUCUCUUGGGUCCAGGAGAGGUGAGUGGAAUUCCGAGUGUAGAGGUGAAAUUCGUAGAUAUUCGGAAGAACACCAGUGGCGAAGGCGGCUCACUGGACUGGUAUUGACGCUGAGGCGCGAAAGCGUGGGGAGCAAACAGG
rnacentral:rRNA from 1 species